rnacentral:rRNA from 1 species
AGUGAACGCUGGCGGUAGGCCUAACACAUGCAAGUCGAACGGCAGCACAGUAAGAGCUUGCUCUUACGGGUGGCGAGUGGCGGACGGGUGAGGAAUACAUCGGAAUCUACUUUUUCGUGGGGGAUAACGUAGGGAAACUUACGCUAAUACCGCAUACGACCUACGGGUGAAAGCAGGGGAUCUUCGUACCUUGCGCGAUUGAAUGAGCCGAUGUCGGAUUAGCUAGUUGGCGGGGUAAAGGCCCACCAAGGCGACGAUCCGUAGCUGGUCUGAGAGGAUGAUCAGCCACACUGGAACUGGGACACGGUCCAGACUCCUACGGGAGGCAGCAGUGGGGAAUAUUGGACAAUGGGCGCAAGCCUGAUCCAGCCAUACCGCGUGGGUGAAGAAGGCCUUCGGGUUGUAAAGCCCUUUUGUUGGGAAAGAAAAGCAGCAGGUUAAUACCCCGCUGUUCUGACGGUACCCAAAGAAUAAGCACCGGCUAACUUCGUG